ACCAGGUACUCCCAGGCGUGUGCAACGUUAUUCAACGGCGUCUCAUGCGCGAAGGCGAAUUGAUCAACACAUUCUAUUUGUAAACAAUGAUUUCAUCGGCGGUGUCCUUGUCCUUCCCGAGAACGUGCGACGAGUGCGAGUAUGCAAGGAAUUCAUCGCUUGAAUUUCAUUACGGCGGACGCAAACACUCACUCAGUGUUCAAUUAAAUCCAUCAUGGCGGCGCUUGUUUUCGACGUAAUAUGGAAUUGGGACGCGUGCACAUCAAAGGCACAUGGUCCGUAUGUCAUGAUGACAGGUCAACCGAACUUCUUUCUCGCCUACCAACUAAGUACUCCUACUUUAUACGCUUUUUUUGAAUUGCUAGUAUGGGAGCAAUUUAUACAGCGUGUGGUGUGUUAUACAUAUUAAUCAUCCAAGGCACAAGGCGCAAGGCAGACUUAGCAAUAAAAUGAUUCCAGAUCUGCUGUGUGGUUAGCUGGCGUGGUACAGUUAUAUUACGCGUUAGGAUAUUUCGUCAUUAUUCUAUUGCUGUUGGACCUGUUGGACUGCGUGGGUGUGGUGCAAAUUUGGUAACUGUUGUUCGCUGCAUAUACUUAUAGCUUGUAUGAAAGCUUAAUCUACAAGAUAAAAUGUUUAUCAAAUUUAAUAUUGAACAAAUAAAGAUCUGCAACUUUUAAUUUGGAAAGUUGCUACAAAAC